GAUGAAGCAGACCAGGGAAAGGACAUGAGCAUGGAGUGGGGUGUGGUUAGGAGCUGUUCAGGAAGCUUGGUGAUUGGGCUCGCCAAGCAGGACGACAUUGGAUUAUGCCCACGUUCAUGGCUUGGGGGCCUGAGUGGGGGGCGUUCCUAUUCACUGAAAUGGGAGAUGCAGGAGGAAGAACAGAGAAGUGGGCUUAGAUUGGGACGUGUUUGCUGUGAAGCAGCCAUGGGCAUCUGGUGGGGAUGGGACAUCUGGGUCUGGGCAUUGCCACUAUGAGGAGCUAUUAGGAGAAGCCAGGGGAGUGGACUGAAAGGAAGGCCCAGGUCAAGUGCUUUCCUUGGUACCUCUGAAAAAUCAGAGAGAUGGGCUGCUUGACCUCAUCUGCUUGUAGUAAGGAUGGGAAAUGGUCACUUUCAAAAAGGGCUGGACAAAAUGCCUUCUAGCGUGAAGGACUGUACCUCAGCAGGUUUCCUUUCCAUAGCAAGCUGCCUCGUACCCAGCCAGACGGCACCAGCGUCCCUGGAGAACCAGCCUCACCUAUCUCCCAGCGCCUGCCCCCCAAGGUAGAAUCCCUGGAGAGUCUCUACUUCACUCCCAUCCCUGCUCGGAGUCAGGCCCCCCUGGAGAGCAGCCUGGACUCCCUGGGAGACGUCUUCCUGGACUCGGGUCGUAAGACCCGCUCCGCUCGUCGGCGCACCACGCAGAUCAUCAACAUCACCAUGACCAAGAAGCUAGAUGUGGAAGAGCCAGACAGCGCCAACUCAUCGUUCUACAGCACGCGGUCUGCUCCUGCUUCCCAGGCUAGCCUGCGAGCCACCUCCUCUACUCAGUCUCUAGCUCGCCUGGGUUCUCCCGAUUAUGGCAACUCAGCCCUGCUCAGCUUGCCUGGCUACCGCCCCACCACUCGCAGUUCUGCUCGUCGUUCCCAGGCCGGGGUGUCCAGUGGGGCCCCUCCAGGGAGAAGGUGGUGAGCAAGCCCCUAGGAUAGAAAUAGUCUGUGUGCCGUACUCCUGCACCUGCGGCACUGAA
rnacentral:lncRNA from 1 species